rnacentral:rRNA from 1 species
GACGAACGCUGGCGGCGUGCCUAACACAUGCAAGUUGAGCGACGAACCAGGGCUUGCCUGGGGCCAAGCAGCCGACGGGGGAAUAAAACCUGGGUAACCCACCCCCGAAACCGGGACAAACCCGGGAAAACCGGGCCAAUUCCGGAAGUGCCCACCGGGCCUCGGUUUCAUUCCGUAAAGAAACUUCCGGCUUCCGUACCGGGGGGGCCCGCGGCCCAUUAGUUUGUUGGGGAGGUAACGGCUCACCAAGACCGCGAUGGGUAGCUGGUCUGAGAGGACGAUCAGCCACACUGGGACUGAGACACGGCCCAGACUCCUACGGGAGGCAGCAGUGGGGAAUCUUGCGCAAUGCGCGAAAGCGUGACGCAGCAACGCCGCGUGGGGGAAGAAGGCCUUCGGGUUGUAAACCCCUUUCAGGAGGGACGAAGGUUCGGCGGUGAAUAGCCGUCCGGACUGACGGUACCUCCACAAGAAGCCCCGGCUAACUACGUG